UACGAAGGGGGGCUAGCGUUGCUCGGAAUUACUGGGCGUAAAGGGCGCGUAGGCGGAUAUUUUAAGUUUAGAGGUGAAAGCCCAGGGCUCAACCCUGGAAUAGCCUUUAAUACUGGAUAUCUUGAGUUCGGGAGAGGUGAGUGGAACUCCGAGUGUAGAGGUGAAAUUCGUAGAUAUUCGGAAGAACACCAGUGGCGAAGGCGACUCACUGGCCCGAUACUGACGCUGAGGCGCGAAAGCGUGGGGGAGCAAACAGG
rnacentral:rRNA from 1 species